rnacentral:rRNA from 1 species
GGCGGACGGGUGAGUAAUGCCUGGNAAAUUGCCCUGAUGUGGGGGAUAACCAUUGGAAACGAUGGCUAAUACCGCAUAAUGUCUACGGACCANAGAGGGGGACCUUCGGGCCUCUCGCUUCAGGAUAUGCCCAGGUGGGAUUANCUAGUUGGUGAGGUAAUGGCUCACCAAGGCGACGAUCCCUAGCUGGUCUGAGAGGAUGAUCAGCCACACUGGAACUGAGACACGGUCCAGACUCCUACGGGAGGCAGCANUGGGGAAUAUUGCACAAUGGGCGCAAGCCNGNNNNAGCCAUGCCGCGUGUAUGAAGAAGGCCUUCGGGUUGUAAAGUACUUUCAGUCGUGAGGAAGGNGUUGNAGUUAAUAGCUUCAUCGNUUGACGUUAGCGACAGAAGAAGCACCGGCUAACUCCGUGCCAGCAGCCGCGGUAAUACGGAGGGUGCGAGCGUUAAUCGGAAUUACUGGGCGU